rnacentral:rRNA from 1 species
UACGGAGGGGGUUAGCGUUGUUCGGAAUGACUGGGCGUAAAGCGCGCGUAGGCGGAUCAGGAAGUUGGGGGUGAAAUCCCGGGGCUCAACCUCGGAACUGCCUUUGAUACUGCGGGUCUUGAGUCCGAUAGAGGUGGGUGGAAUUCCUAGUGUAGAGGUGAAAUUCGUAGAUAUUAGGAAGAACACCGGUGGCGAAGGCGGCCCACUGGAUCGGUACUGACGCUGAGGUGCGAAAGCGUGGGGAGCAAACAGG